ACAGUGAUACUGCUGGGUUUCCUUGAUACUUAGUUUAUUUGUGUUGUAAAACAGUUACAUUUUGGGGAGAGAGGAACUGAAGAGGUGGAAACUGUCCAUGGUGUUGCAUAUACUGAAUGGGAAGGUGCUCUGAAGCAGAGAAAGAAGCCUAAGCAGUAGCUGUAUUCACAGUUAUCCUUUUGGUCCUGUCAUACCAAUGUAGUGGAAGGCCAGGAGUCCAGAUGAGUGUUUCAUGUACACCUUGUUGAGGAAUGGGCAUGUCACACUGACUGCAGCUGUAUGUAUUUCAUAUCUGUAAACAUUUAAUAUACAAGAAGUGUGGUUGUCUAAGAGGGUGUGUGCAGUUUUGCCUCCUUGCUGCUACUGUGCAGAACACUGCCUCUGGUAGUCUUUAUUCUCUGGAUUAUUUCUGUUCAAUGGUAUUGUGCAUUAAGCCUGAAACUUGCAUUUUGGGAGUUUUAGGAGGAAAUUCGAUGUGCUUGUGUAUAUAUUUUCCCAUGCAUCUAACCAACACAAGGAAACAGAAACCCUGCCCACUGACCUUUACAACAUUGUAAGGGAGGGGUAGUGCAGUUGUAAUGUUAUGUAGGAAUGCUUAUCCAUGCCCAAAUGGAAAUGGUUGUUUAUUGGAUGGCAAGUACUGAAGUUUUAUCAGUGGGAGAACUAGGCAGGAAAUGUCUGCAGUUUGACUUUGCUAAACUUUUACACAAUUUUUCCUCCACAUGAAAUAUUUCCACAGGAAUCUAAGGUGUGUGGAAGAUGCUGGAUCACCAGGUGCAGGGAUUGAACUCUACCCACUGGAAAGGUUUUUCUACAGCAGCAGCAGGUCAUCUUUUGCCUCUCAUGGGAGCGCUUAGCCUUUUGAUAAUGCCUCCUUCACAAUGAAGGGAAGAAAGGAUGGAUCAACAGGGAUGUGCAAUGGAGUGAUGUCCACAUGUGGUGUUAACAGUCAUGAUGAUCCCUAUCCCACUAACUUGGAGAAUUGAAUAAAAAAGUUGAAUCGUAA